rnacentral:lncRNA from 1 species
UGAGAUGGAGGGAUUGGGUAGCAGAUUUGCUUGCAAAGCUAAGGUGUCUGAGUUCAUUAAAAAUAUGAAGACUUUCCUGCUGGGCUUCUGAUAUAGCUAGGAUAGACACGUUUGUUUGUACUAACAUAGGGUAGUUAUCCAGAUUAUCGUCUUGUGCAUCAUUAAAAUAAUUUUUUUAAAGAAAAUCACUCGAGCAAUUUGAGUGUCGGACCAUGUUCAUUUGCUAAGUGAAUUAGAAUUGUGGCCAUAUCACUACAAGAAAAUAGGUUUUUCCGGCGUUUUUUAUAUCCUUUACCGACGCUAUUUAGCGUCGGUAAAAACACCGCCGACGCAAUGGAAAGCGUCGCAAAAGCGUUGGCGAUACCUGAGUGGAAAAGUUUUUGCCGACGCUUAAGAAAAGCGUCGGCAAAACCUAUGCUUUACCGACGCACUAAAGCGUACGUUCUUUUGCCGACGCACUAAAGCGUCGGCUUAAACUGCUAAUUCGGCGUCCAGGCUGGGUUUUUACCGACGCUUAUAUAGCGUCGUCUAAAGCCAUGUUUUUACCGACGCUUUGAAAGCGUCGGCGAUAGCGUGCCAGCCCGUGCCAAAGGGGGUUUUUAACGACGCUUUAAAGCGUCGGGAGUGUAUUUUUUUUUAAAAAAAAGAAAAACAAAAGCAUAUUAAGAAAUAUAUUAUAGCAAUAUGAACCUGCAUUACAUUUACAUCAAGACAAACAUACAGAUCAUUCGAAACAUUCAUAUUGUCAUAUAAGAUUAAAUUUACAUAAGUUUAAAAUUACAAUGUAUUUUGAAAAAUAUAAGAAAGAUACAUAUAAAACUUCUUAGAUAAUAGUCUAAAAAAUAUCAGGGACCGGAUUCAGCCCCAUCAUCAUCUCUGCGAGCUGUUGAAGUAUCAGGAAUCUACAAAAAAAA